UAAAUACUCCCUCCGUCCCAAAAUUCUGGUCUUAGAUUUUUCUAGAUACGAAAGUAUCUAGUCAUAUUUUAGUACUCAGAUACAUCCAUUUUUAGACAGACCUAGGACAAGAAUUUUGGGACCAAGGGAGUAGUUU
rfam:Hordeum vulgare subsp. vulgare, WGS project CAJW01000000 data, contig: morex_contig_1669619